UGAGUUUUGAUCAUGGCUCAGGAUGAACGCUAGCGGCAGGCCUAAUACAUGCAAGUCGAGGGGCAGCACGGUAGCAAUACUGGUGGCGACCGGCAAACGGGUGCGGAACACGUACGCAACCUUCCUUUAAGUGGGGGAUAGCCCAUAGAAAUGUGGAUUAAUACCUCGUAAUAUUAUUGAUUGGCAUCAGUUGAUAAUUAUAGCUCCGGCGCUUAAAGAUGGGCGUGCGCCUGAUUAGGUAGUUGGUGAGGUAACGGCUCACCAAGCCGACGAUCAGUAACUGGCGUGAGAGCGCGACCAGUCACACGGGCACUGAGACACGGGCCCGACUCCUACGGGAGGCAGCAGUAAGGAAUAUUGGUCAAUGGACGCAAGUCUGAACCAGCCAUGCCGCGUGGAGGAUGAAGGUCCUCUGGAUUGUAAACUUCUUUUAUUUGGGAAGAAACCUCUCUAUUCCUAGAGAGUUGACGGUACCAAGUGAAUAAGCACCGGCUAACUCCGUGCCAGCAGCCGCGGUAAUACGGAGGGUGCAAGCGUUAUCCGGAUUCACUGGGUUUAAAGGGUGCGUAG
rnacentral:rRNA from 1 species